rnacentral:misc_RNA from 1 species
CUUUAACAUGGCUCCUCAAAUUUCUUCAAGAAAAUCCUGCUGUAUUGGAACGACUAAGAGAGGAGCAUAGAGAAAUCCAAGCUCAAAAACAAGGCACGUUAGAUCUCACCUGGUCUGAAGUCAACAAUAUGCCUUACACCGCCAAAGUAAUCAGUGAAACACUUCGAAUGGCCACAAUCCUUCCAUGGUUUUCAAGAAAAGCAGCACAAGAUUUUGAGAUUGAGGG